rfam:Flavobacterium succinicans strain DD5b FLB_contig000046, whole genome shotgun sequence.
GUCUAGCCCUGAUGGGAGCGGCAUCCUUGCUUGACGGGGUUCGGCAAGCAAGAUAUAGUGGACAGCAGGACGACUC